rnacentral:rRNA from 1 species
CCUACGGGUGGCAGCAGUGAGGAAUAUUGGUCAAUGGACGAGAGUCUGAACCAGCCAAGUAGCGUGAAGGAUGACUGCCCUAUGGGUUGUAAACUUCUUUUAUCUGGGAAUAAAAUGUUCCACGUGUGGGAGUUUGUAGGUACCAUAUGAAUAAGGAUCGGCUAACUCCGUGCCAGCAGCCGCGGUAAUACGGAGGAUCCGAGCGUUAUCCGGAUUUAUUGGGUUUAAAGGGAGCGUAGGUGGGUUGUUAAGUCAGUUGUGAAAGUUUGCGGCUCAACCGUAAAAUUGCAGUUGAAACUGGCAGUCUUGAGUACAGUAGAGGUGGGCGGAAUUCGUGGUGUAGCGGUGAAAUGCUUAGAUAUCACGAAGAACUCCGAUUGCGAAGGCAGCUCACUGGACUGCCACUGACACUGAGGCACGAAAGUGUGGGUAUCAAACAGGAUUAGAUACCCGGGUAGUC